GACGAACGCUGGCGGCGUGCUUAACACAUGCAAGUCGAACGGUAAGGCCCUUCGGGGUACACGAGUGGCGAACGGGUGAGUAACACGCGGGUGAUCUGCCCUGCACUUCGGGAUAAGCCUGGGAAACUGGGUCUAAUACCGGAUAGGACCACUGCCUGCAUGGGUGGUGGUGGAAAGCUUUUGCGGUGUGGGAUGGGCCCGCGGCCUAUCAGCUUGUUGGUGGGGUGAUGGCCUACCAAGGCGACGACGGGUAGCCGGCCUGAGAGGGUGACCGGCCACACUGGGACUGCGAUACGGCCCAGACUCCUACGGGAGGCAGCAGUGGGGAAUAUUGCACAAUGGGCGCAAGCCUGAUGCAGCGACGCCGCGUGAGGGAUGACGGCCUUCGGGUUGUAAACCUCUUUCAGCACCGACGAAGCGCAAGUGACGGUAGGUGCAGAAGAAGGACCGGCCAACUACGUGCCAGCCGCCGCGGUAA
rnacentral:rRNA from 1 species